rnacentral:rRNA from 1 species
GAUGAACGCUAGCUACAGGCUUAACACAUGCAAGUCGAGGGGCAGCGGUAUCGAAAGCUUGCUUUCGGUAGCCGGCGACCGGCGCACGGGAGAGGAACACGUAUCGAACCUGCCUCAUACACGGGAAUAGCCUUGCGAAAGUAAGAUUAUAGCCCGGUGUGCUCAGAGUCCCGCAUGAGGCUUUGAACAAAGAUUUAUCGGUAUGAGAUGGGGAUGCGUUCCAUUAGCUUGUUGGCGAGGUAACGGCCCACCAAGGCAUCGAUGGGUAGGGGUUCUGAGGGUAGGCUCCCCCACAUUGGAACCGGGACACGGGCCACUCUGCUACGGGCGGCAGCAGUACGGAAUACUGGUGAGGGGACGGUAGCCUGAACCGGCCAAGUAGCGUGCAGGAAGGCGGCCCUCCGGAUUGUAAACUGCUUUUAGUUAAGAAUAUUACGGGGCUCGGGAGCCCGCUUGCCGGUACCAUCAGAAAAAGGACCGGCUAACUCCGUG